CACACACAUCAGAGAGAGGCUCACGGCAUUAUACACACACACAAUACUAGAAACAUGGCUGCUUAGCACACACACACACUGUCGUCCGAUUUUGACAGAUACCACUCGUUAAAGUUGCACCAGUCUGCGUGAGAAAGUGAGCAGAAGGUAACGAGAAAUCGGUGGCGAUUUGUGAGGGACUUGCGCGUUCGUACGGAGCCCGCGCUCUGUUAUCUUAUCGGGGCCUUGAUUUGGCUUCCAAGUUUAGAUUCGAUCGCGGCCCCCUCCCACAUCCUACUACUGCCCACUCGAUCACGACUCGCAACCGCCCAAUUUUUGUCGUCUGAGCUCCUUUGUGCUAUCGGCUCGUGUGGGAUAUUCGCGACGAAAAGGGGAGUGCAACCUUAGCAAUGACCACCAUAUCUCAAGUGUUGGCCAAUCUCUACGUCACCAUCAGUUGCUCAUAGGAGAAAUGCAGGUGCUCGGUCAGUGAUCCGCCUAAUACCCAAGAGUUUCCUCAUUCCAGUUCGCCAUGUCGGAAACCAAGAACAAGCUCAGCAAGGUGGCCAGGCUGAGGAAACGACUCAGUGACAGCUUGGGCAGGCUGGCCUCUCUGGCCAAAGAAGACUGGUCCAUCAGCCGAACAAGAUCUCAGACCAGACUCUCUCACAUGGGCUACCGCAAGGACCACAACGGACUCAGCAUGAGGGGCAAAGCAGGAUUCUCUGACGAGUAUCUGGACAAGCUGGACAGUGAAACCAGGGACUCGCUGCAGGAGAAUGGUGAUGCAUCUGGUGGCCAAGGUGAGCCAGACCUCCGAUGGGAGAGGCUACGACUAAGUGACGGAGAUUUGCUCAGCGCCAGCCGGGAUCCAGAAUUCGAAAAAUUGAAGGGUUCUGGUGGUGCCGAUUCCGGUUUGGGAAGUGACGAUGCGUGUGCUCAAGAUACCAGCAGCCGAAUUGCUACGGUUGGAGGUGAACAAGUGGUGCUGAGACGUAGUAAGAAAUCGUCCUCGUCCCACCUGAAACAGCGUCCCAAAUCGGAGGUUUACCGACACCAGCCCAUCGACCCUCACCUGGCCGGAGCCAGUGUCGUCCUACCCAGCGCAUCCGCCAUCAAUUUGAAACCCUCCGAGUCUAUUCGUCGCUCCAAAAGAUACUCAGCCUUCGGGGGAACCAGUCCGUUUGGCAAAAUCGAGAAUUACCUACGACUGGAGCAGCUAGGCGAAGGCUCUUACGCCACCGUCUACCGAGGAUUCAGCAAUUUGACUCAGCAAGUGGUGGCGCUGAAGGAAAUUCGUUUGCAGGAAGAAGAAGGUGCUCCAUUCACGGCCAUCCGUGAAGCUUCUCUACUUCGUGACCUGCGCCACGCCAACGUCGUCACCCUGCACGACAUUGUGCACACGAAAACGUCGCUAACGUUCGUCUUUGAAUACGUCCAUUCGGAUUUGGCUCAGUAUCUGGAGAGGCAUCCGGGCGGAUUGCAGGCUCACAACGUCCGUUUGUUCCUGUUUCAGCUCCUGCGUGGCCUCUCGUACGUCCACCGGCGCAAGAUCCUCCACCGGGAUCUCAAGCCGCAGAAUUUGCUCAUCAGCGAAGUCGGCGAACUCAAAUUGGCCGAUUUCGGGCUGGCCCGCGCCCAAUCGGUUCCGUCGCACACCUUCUCAAGCGAAGUCGUGACCCUCUGGUACCGGCCGCCUGAAGUCCUACUCGGCUCAACGCAAUACUCUUCGCCGCUGGACCUCUGGGGCGUUGGCUGCAUCUUUGUCGAGCUCCUGACGGGCAGUCCGGCAUUUCCAGGCGUCAAAGACGCUGCCGAUCAAUUGGAAAGAAUCUUCAAGAUUUUGGGGACGCCGACGGAAUCGACGUGGCCGGGCGUGUCCCGUCUGCCGCUCUACAAGCCGCAGCGCUUGAACUUUUACCGGACGCAGAGGCUGGGCCACGCGUUCCCUCGUCUCUACGACAUUAGCCAGGCCGAGAAUUUGGCCUCGAAACUGCUCCAAUUGCAGCCCAGCACCCGACUGACGGGCGAAACGGCCGUCCGGCACAAAUUCUUCCAGGAGCUGCCCUCGCAACUAUUUAACCUGUCUGACGACGUGUCCAUUUUCACGGUCCCGGGCGUCGGUCUCUACCCGGAAGAGCGGAAAUUCCCUCCUGUCGUUCUCAGAGCGGCCCAGGAGUUGAAAAACAAGGCCAAAUUUUAAUUAUUUUUUUAAAUAACUAAAACACAAAACUAAAAAAAAAAAAAUUAAGAAAAAGAAAAUUUCAGAAAUGAAAUUUUUAUUUUAAUUUCCUUCCUUCCUAUCUCGAAAUCCGUUCCAUAAUAGCCGCCAUACAUGCCAAUCCCGACACGACAAAAGAAAAGUCCUCCCGCACUAUCAAACGGUAUUAUAUAUUCACUCGCUUUAUAAGAGCGUCAAAGUGAAAAGAGACAACAAAAAAGUUAUUUUAUGGAUAACGGCAGAAAUCGAUUUGCCUCCAAGUGGUACACCCCUCGAUCUUUUUCCUGUGUAGAGCCAAUCUCCGUUUGUUUUUCCCUCCACCUUUUGUUGAUUUUGUGUUUUUAUUUCUUUAAGAGAUUGGCCAGUUUUCAUUUCCAUCUAGUAAAACACGUCCCUUCCUGUUUAAAUAGUUAAUUGACAAGCAAACAAUGAUUAAGGAAGCAAUACUGUGUAUCCCUUUUUUAUAUAAAAGCUCAGAUUCUUGUUUUGAAUGACCGGAAGACACGCCCCUAGCCCGCCAAUUUUGAAUUGGCUUCGAUUUUUGUUUUUCCCCCGCCCUUUUUUAAACAGACACCGCCGCCCCCUCCUAUCGACAAGGUUUCCAUUCACGAAACUUUCGACACACUAGAACUCUUAACAACAACAAUUUUUGAUGCCAAAACAACAUUAAUUCUUUUGCAUUGUCAUAUCGUUGCCAUUUUUACUGCUGUCCCCUCCGAAUUUUGUUCAAAAACAAAUUUAUUCGUCCACCACUACUAUAUUAAAUAAUAAUAAUAAUAAUAACUCCUACCCGUUUGUAACCGUCCUAUCACUUUUAACUGCAUUUGCUGUUGUCGACAUUUUUUCGUACCCGAUUGUCAAAACAAACAAAUUUCGUCCCAAAAUUGAAAACAAUUAUCCGGAAUACCCCAAAAAGAAAAGAGACAAGUUGAGAAAGAAGGCCACCAAUGCUUCCGCCUGCGUCUACUCACGAUAGACCUUGGCGAAUUCAUCCAUUGAUUGUUUGUUCCUCAGUGCUGUUAAUAUUGUUGAGCGAUGACUAUCGAAAAAAGAAAGAAAAAAAGUAAUUCAGAGAAUAACGACGAUUAUAUCCCGAAAGAAUUUAAAGAAGCUAAAAAAAAAUUUAAAAAAAUGUCACACAAAAUAAAUUCCAGCCGCAUCCGUCGAAGAAUUUGGGAAAUUUUAAAGAAAUUGUGUUUUUUUUUUUGCCAUCGUCGUUCGUCGUCCUCUUGUGUCAAGUGUCCGCGUUAUUGUCUUCUUAUAUCGACAUCCAAAUAAACAUCUUGUAUAACCUCAA
rnacentral:misc_RNA from 1 species